rnacentral:rRNA from 1 species
CCUGGUUGAUUCUGCCAGUAGUCAUAUGCUUGUCUCAAAGAUUAAGCCAUGCAUGUCUAAGUAUAAGCAAUUAUACCGUGAAACUGCGAAUGGCUCAUUAAAUCAGUUAUCGUUUAUUUGAUAAUACCUUACUACUUGGAUAACCGUGGUAAUUCUAGAGCUAAUACAUGCUGAAAAUCCCGACUUCGGAAGGGAUGUGUUUAUUAGAUAAAAAACCAAUGCCCUUCGGGGCUCCUUGGUGAUUCAUAAUAACUUUACGGAUCGCAUAGCCUUGCGCUGGCGACGGUUCAUUCAAAUUUCUGCCCUAUCAACUUUCGAUGGUAAGGUAUUGGCUUACCAUGGUUUCAACGGGUAACGGGGAAUUAGGGUUCGAUUCCGGAGAGGGAGCCUGAGAAACGGCUACCACAUCCAAGGAAGGCAGCAGGCGCGCAAAUUACCCAAUCCCGAUUCGGGGAGGUAGUGACAAUAAAUACUGAUACAGGGCUCUUUUGGGUCUUGUAAUUGGAAUGAGUACAAUUUAAACCUCUUAACGAGGAACAAUUGGAGGGCAAGUCUGGUGCCAGCAGCCGCGGUAAUUCCAGCUCCAAUAGCGUAUAUUAAAGUUGUUGCAGUUAAAAAGCUCGUAGUUGAAACUUGGGUCUGGCUGGCGGGUCCGCCUCACCGCGUGCACUCGUCCGGCCGGGCCUUCCUUCUGAAGAACCUCAUGCCCUUUACUGGGCGUGUUGGGGAAUCAGGACUUUUACUUUGAAAAAAUUAGAGUGUUCAAAGCAGGCCUUUGCUCGAAUACGUUAGCAUGGAAUAAUAAAAUAGGGCGUGCGUUUCUAUUUUGUUGGUUUCUAGAGACGCCGCAAUGAUUAACAGGAACAGUCGGGGGCAUCAGUAUUCAGUUGUCAGAGGUGAAAUUCUUGGAUUUACUGAAGACUAACUACUGCGAAAGCAUUUGCCAAGGAUGUUUUCAUUAAUCAGUGAACGAAAGUUAGGGGAUCGAAGACGAUCAGAUACCGUCGUAGUCUUAACCGUAAACUAUGCCGACUAGGGAUCGGGCGAUGUUCUUUUUCUGACUCGCUCGGCACCUUACGAGAAAUCAAAGUUUUUGGGUUCUGGGGGAUUAUGGUCGCAAGGCUGAAACUUAAAGAAAUUGACGGAAGGUCACCACCAGGCGUGGAGCCUGCGGCUUAAUUUGACUCAACACGGGGAAACUCACCAGGUUCAGAUGAAAUAAGGAUUGACAGAUUGAGAGCUCUUUCUUGAUUUUUCAGGUGGUGGUGCAUGGCCGUUCUUAGUUCGUGGGGUGACUUGUCUGCUUAAUUGCGAUAACGAGCGAGACCUUACUCUGCUAAAUAGCCAGGCUAGCUUUGGCUGGUCGCCGGCUUCUUAGAGAGACUAUCAACUCAAGUUGAUGGAAGUUUGAGGCAAUAACAGGUUAACCUACACAGGCCUGUAACAGUGGGCCUCGUUAAAGAUAACUGCUAGUCUAGCGUCUUAACCUUCUUUGGGGAAGUCCCCUACUGUCGGGAGAAGGCAAGUUUUACUUGUGACGUAGGCAACACCACCUGGUACAGG